AAUCAACGCUGGCGGCGUGCCUAACACAUGCCAGUCGAACGCGAAAGUCCCGCAAGGGAUCAGUAGAGUGGCAAACGGGUGAGUAACGCGUGGGCGACCUACCUUCGAGUGGGGGAUAACCUUCCGAAAGGAGGGCUAAUACCGCAUGACAUCCCGUGGUUGGAUACACGGACAUCAAAGCCGGGGAUCGCAAGACCUGGCGCUUGGAGAGGGGCCCGCGUCCGAUUAGCUAGUUGGUGGGGAAUGGCUCACCAAGGCUCCGAUCGGUAUCCGGCCUGAGAGGGCGGACGGACACACUGGGACUGAGACACGGCCCAGACUCCUACGGGAGGCAGCAGUGGGGAAUUGUUCGCAAUGGGCGCAAGCCUGACGACGCAACGCCGCGUGGAGGAUGAAGA
rnacentral:rRNA from 1 species